rnacentral:lncRNA from 1 species
CACAUAAUAGCAUUUUGAAUAAUUCUAAUCAAAGAGAUAAAGAAAUUGAUUAUAUGAAAUAUAAUAAUAAUAUAAAUAAUAAUAAUAAUAAUCAACAAAAUACAGAAUAUAAAAAUAUGGAAAUGUUUGGUAACUCACAUAAGCCAGAUGAUUAUAAUAUUGAAUUUUAUGAUCGUCCAUAUGAAGACAAUAAUAAUGAAAAUAACAAUUAUGAUGAUAAUAACAGUAAAAUAAACCCCCCCUCACGCACAAAUGUAUUUAAAAACGCUAUUGAAGCUAAAAGAAAUAUAAACAAAAUGUCAAAAGAAAACCCAUGUAGUAAUAUUAAAUCAUUAAAUUAUUGUAAAACAUUAAACGACAGAUUUAAUAAUGACACAUGUGAUUAUGAGGAUGCAUUAAAUUUAUGCUGUGCUAUUUCAGAUUACUGUAUGCAGUUUUUUGAAAGCAAUUCAAAUGAAUAUAAAGAAUGUAUAAAUGAUGAAUUUUAUUCUCCUGUAUAUAAAUGCUUUAAGAAAAAACGAUCCUCAAACGCUACUUAUUAUGCAUCAGGAGGUGUAAUACUAAUAGCAGCAUUAGCAGUAGGCUACUACAUGAUGGGAUACGAAUCUAGAAAACAGGAAGUCGAAGACGAUAAUAGUUAUAAUGAAACUUAUAAAAAUUUAAUAACACGUAAGUAUCUUAGUAAUGACUUAAAAUACUUAAACAUAUAAAUAUUUUAACAUUAGUUAAAGUAGAUAUUCCACUUUAUAUUUAUAUGUAUAUAUUUAUAUAUAUAUUUAUACUUUUUUUUUUUUUUUUCUGGGGGGAUGUUUUAGGUGAUGAAGAAUGCCAACCUGAAUUUUACAGUGAUAUCACAAACUCUCCUGUCCAUAAAUCUAAUGUUUAUUAAUUUUAACAAUUGUAUAAUUUAAAAAAAUAAAAAAAAACGAUUAGUUUAUGUGUGCA